UGGGGAAUAUUGGACAAUGGGCGCAAGCCUGAUCCAGCCAUGCCGCGUGAGUGAUGAAGGCCUUAGGGUUGUAAAGCUCUUUUGUCAGGGAAGAUAAUGACGGUACCUGAAGAAUAAGCACCGGCUAACUUCGUGCCAGCAGCCGCGGUAAUACGAAGGGUGCUAGCGUUGUUCGGAAUUACUGGGCGUAAAGCGCGCGUAGGCGGCUAUGUAAGUCAGAGGUGAAAGCCCUGGGCUCAACCCAGGAAUUGCCUUUGAAACUGCAUAGCUUGAGUGUCGGAGGGGAUAGCGGAAUUGCUAAUGUAGAGGUGAAAUUCGUAGAUAUUAGCAGGAACACCGGUGGCGAAGGCGGCUAUCUGGACGACAACUGACGCUGAGGCGCGAAAGCGUGGGGAUCAAACAGGAUUAGAUACCCCCGUAGUCC
rnacentral:rRNA from 1 species